AGUGAACGCUGGCGGUAGGCCUAACACAUGCAAGUCGAACGGCAGCACAGUAAGAGCUUGCUCUUACGGGUGGCGAGUGGCGGACGGGUGAGGCAUACAUCGGAAUCUACUUUUUCGUGGGGGAUAACGUAGGGAAACUUACGCUAAUACCGCAUACGACCUACGGGUGAAAGCAGGGGAUCUUCGGACCUUGCGCGACUGAAUGAGCCGAUGUCGGAUUAGCUAGUUGGCGGGGUAAAGGCCCACCAAGGCGACGAUCCGUAGCUGGUCUGAGAGGAUGAUCAGCCACACUGGAACUGAGACACGGUCCAGACUCCUACGGGAGGCAGCAGUGGGGAAUAUUGGACAAUGGGCGCAAGCCUGAUCCAGCCAUACCGCGUGGGUGAAGAAGGCCUUCGGGUUGUAAAGCCCUUUUGUUGGGAAAGAAAAGCAGCAGGUUAAUACCCCGCUGUUCUGACGGUACCCAAAGAAUAAGCACCGGCUAACUUCGUG
rnacentral:rRNA from 1 species